UGUCGGCACAAGCUGUUAAUAGAGAAAACAAUUCAUCAUAAUUUGGCGGCCACCGCGGGAUGCCUUUACCCAUGGUGGUCCACUAUAAGAACGUAAAGUAUACACGACGAUGUCGGUUGUACUUAUAUGUGUUUCGGUUACCGGUAUUGACCCCGACAGAUUUAUUACAUACCUACCUACAAGGGCAAUUAAUCGGCGAGCCAAACUUAUUCUUUUUAUAACAUCAUGUAUUCUAGAUAUUUUUCAAUCUCUUUUGAGAAAAAAGGUACUCAUUUGUUAUAUACUCGUAAUAAAAUUAAAAUUGCGUUUUGUUAAUAGUUAAAAUUAUAAAAAAAGAAAUUGGUAUGUCUAAUCAAAAUGAUUGAGAGAUAUUGCUUCACCCGAUUAUAUUGAAUACGUAUUGUCGCAAAGUGCCGUUUGCUUCACGGUUGUAUGUGUGUUGUGUCGCGCAUGAUAAUAAUAUAAUAUAAUUUCCACAAAGUAUACUAUGAACUGAGAGAGAGAGGCAAGUGAGAAAGAGACGUAGAGAGGAAGCAUCAAGGAGGGUUCGCGGUGGCAGCAGUACCGGGCGAAAGCAGAUUAGCGUGAAUAAUGAAGACACGACCCCGUGAAAGCCUAAGCGGGCCUCCUUAAGUCUGUUCCUUGGAGUAGAAGCCGAAGCCGGAAAGGGAGGAUGCUGAGGGAGGGAGGUGGAGCGGACAGAAAGGACGUAGAAGCAGUUAAUUACUCCUCCCAUCCACGGGAUAACGACUUCCCCUUAUUUGUCGAGAGGCGCAAACAGCCAACCCUCCGCGAAAUCCCUCGCCAAGACGCUUUCUCCUGCGUAUACAUACAGGCAGAUGCGAUCGAGAACUAUCCAGUUCAUUUUGGAGUAUCCAUUUUUCAUCGAUCUGUUUCUCGAUCGAUCACUCACUUCGGGACUUCGGGAUGAAACGCUUGAUGUCACCUAGUUAUGAAGACGCGUUAUUCAAGAUGGAUCAAAUUCAGGAUGCCGAUAAAAUAAUCAGAAUACGAUGUUCGGAAUAGGAUGUUUUGAAAGAAAGAUUGUAGCCAAAUCUACAAGAGAUCUAAAUGUUGUAAAAAAUAAUUUAAAAGAACAAACGCUGAAUGGAAAUUAAAUCUGCCUUUCGCAUAAAUUUAUCCAUACGAUAUAUUCUCACCCCAACGGAGUCAUUUCGAGGUAUAAGACGCAGCCAUCGUCAACCGCCACUCGCUAAGUCGAAGAACCCAUUGACAGCUACAGGACGACGUGGUAGCACAUGUUACGGCGGGACCAUGCACGGAACAUGCCAUGCAACGAAACAAAUGUUAGGUACGCCCAAAAACACGAUGCGAAAAGAGUGAGAGAAAGAAAGAGAGAGAGAGAGAGAGAGAGAGACAGACUAAUUACGAAAGAAAUCAUAAUAGGCACACAUGCACCGCGGGCGAUGUCGGGCUAACGAUCAGGCUUCCUCCGCCGCAUCUGCACCUGUUACUCGGAUCCUAUGGUCGUGUCGAUGCACGCGAGCUGCAUAUGCCGAUGGCCUUCCUCAGAAACAAACCGCCUAAGGCUCCGCUCCUCCCUCCAACUUCCAUAGAUCCUGAAUCCAGAAAGGUGAGGUUUUAUCCUAUUCACUCAUAUACACCAUUUUACGUUCUAUAUAUUAAAAAAAAAGAAAGAAAUAGACCGAUUAGAGAAGAAACCAAUUAAAAUUUCGCGAAAUUAAUUCCCCGAUCUAUGGAAUCAAUUAGAUCUAAAAUCGCAUUCAGAUUUCAUUAUUAAAAGAAAUUGAUUCUCAUUAUGAAUGUGUAUAAAUGCGAAAUGUAAUCGUCUACAACUUCAAGCCUCGCAAGAAAGCUCUAUUGCGUAUGUACAUUAUCGGACACGACUAGUUUUAUUAGGGAAAGGGAGAGAGAGAAAGAGAGAGAGAGAGAGAGAAAGAAAGAAGGAGAGAGCUAAAUCAUCGAUAUUAAUGACGCGAUCUAUAAAAUUUUCCAUCGAUUAGGUUCGCCGUGACGGCGCAACCUUCUCUCUAUCGCCAUAAGAGAGCUCGUAAUCGUAAUUAACAUCUCUCUCUUCCUCUCGACCAUUCCGUUUUAUCGCGUUACUCCGCUUAGAGGAAAGUCGCCGACAAGUCGCUCACGCACGACGAGUCAGCGUAAUAACGGCCGCUUUGAACUGACCACGAGCGCGAGAUAAACGGACAGAAGGUCUCGUUAAUUAAGGCGGAAAAUAUAUAUACAUAUAUAUGCGAACGAAAAGCGCCCUGUGCCACGCGUUGCGCCUAAGGCACGAACAAUCUUUUUGUCUUGAUGCUGUUCGCGGAGCACCCAUGUGCGGAGCUCUCAUGUGCCGCUGUUUGCUAUAUUAUUGUCCGUCGACGACGAAAUUGAAUGAAUCGCGAUUUUAAAUACGCGCACUGACCACCGCCCGUGUGUUUCGGAACUCCGGAGCUCUCUUUAUUCCGCCGACCAGUCGUGCGUAUGAUUACUACUCCGUUUGUCAUUCUCGAGUAAUCAACGUUCGCAGAUAUUUAAUAAUUACGUGCGCGAGUUUCGACGGACAGCUAAUUGCUCCAUGAUGAAAGGUGAGCGCAGCAAAAGGAAAAUAUCGUUAUCGUUAAUAAUGAGUAGACUCGAGUAGAUAAUUAGAAUCAGAUAAGCGACGAACGUGUACCUUCGAUCAAGUGAUAUCCUUUAAAUUACAUGUUUUUAAUCAUCAUUUUAAUUUUGCGUUCACAAUCAUUAUGUCGAAUGACUAAAGUUGGCCAAUUUCGAUGAUUGACAUGUUUUUAAGUUGAAAAUUUUGUAGAAUAAUUUAAUACCUUCUCUACAAGCAUCUCUAGAUUUGUCAAGGAUAGUAAAAAUUGUUAUUGCUAAAUUGAAACGUAUAAUACAUCUAUUCAUUAGUGGUUCAGUUGCACGCAAUAAUUCAAAAUUAAACGGAAAGAAAGAGAGAGAGAGAGAGAGAGAAAGACAGAGAAAAUGUACGCCUUUUCUAGAUACUCUUGUGUAAAAAUUCUCCCCCGGGCCGAAAAUUUCUUUUGCCUCAGCCCGAGGCGAGGCCCCUGUUGAGGCAAUCUUCGUUAUAAACACCGGAUGGCCGGAGUGUGAAGAUAUUACCCUCUAAAGUGUUUUAACCCGUCAAAGCAAAUGCCGUUCGCCUCCUGCAGUCGUAAUUUUGAGAAGACUGCCUAGUCAGAUUUUUCCUUUUUCUUCCCCUUCCUCUCCCCUUCCUGUCUUCAUUCGAAACUUUGCACGCGAGGAAUAAUUUUCAAUAAGUGCAUCUCGCCGCGUUGCAUCUCUUGUCUUUAGCGAAUAGAUAUAAGAAUGGACCGGCUUUAAAAACUUGUAGACCUCGAAGAGUUAUGAAGCAGUACGAUCUUGAAUAUCGCGAAAAAUCGCGAGAAGUUUUGAUCCUUAUAAUCUUCUCCUUUCUUUUAUGAAAUAUAUAUGCUCGAGCAAAAAAUCCUUUAAAUUUUCCAGUGCAAAGUGAUCGAUUCUCCUUCUCAUUUCAGACAGAUCUUUCUUCCAAUAGAUUUUUCUUCGUUGCCUUGUUUUGUCCACGAAGAUAGUCACUCAAUGUACGGUAGUAUGUACUUAGUUAACAUCAAAACGAUCAUUAGAAUCAAAUAUUGUGGGUAUUUCGAAAGAAAACUAGUUACAUAUUGUUUUGUCAUUCAUCAUCGAUUUAACGAGACGAGAAGGAGAGUAUACAGAUGAGAAUCGAAAGGGAUGACGUUUCUCUCUGAGUUCGAUUGAUUUAGAUCGAGGUAAGUCUCGAGCACAGGCCCUGUAAUCUCGCUGACACGCCGGUACGCACGCGAACAUAACCCCUGGGGAUGUAUCCGAAAUUUAGGACGAGGGGGGUAGAGCUGCAAAAGGAAUAUUCCCUUUGUACCAGUCCUCGCGUACUGAAUUAGUGUCCCUCAAAUUUACGAGACUCUCGUCAGAUCGGUGAACGAUGAUUCUCGGUAGAACAAAUUAGAUGGGAAUGCAUCUUGUUAGAUGAUCCGACGUAUUCUAAGAUGGGGUGUAGUAGAAGAUCUAAGAAAACAACUGAUAAUUCUAUAAUAUAUGUACAUAGAG